rnacentral:rRNA from 1 species
CCUACGGGAGGCAGCAGUCGAGAAUCAUUCACAAUGGGGGAAACCCUGAUGGUGCGACGCCGCGUGGGGGAAUGAAGGUCUUCGGAUUGUAAACCCCUGUCAUGUGGGAGCAAAUUAAAAAGAUAGUACCACAAGAGGAAGAGACGGCUAACUCUGUGCCAGCAGCCGCGGUAAUACAGAGGUCUCAAGCGUUGUUCGGAAUCACUGGGCGUAAAGCGUGCGUAGGCUGUUUCGUAAGUCGUGUGUGAAAGGCGCGGGCUCAACCCGCGGACGGCACAUGAUACUGCGAGACUAGAGUAAGGGAGGGGGAACCGGAAUUCGCCGUGUAGCAGUGAAAUGCGUAGAUAUCGAGAGGAACACUCGUGGCGAAGGCGGGUUCCUGGACAUUAACUGACGCUGAGGCACGAAGGCCAGGGGAGCGAAAGGGAUUAGAUACCCCAGUAGUC